UACGGAGGGUGCAAGCGUUGCUCGGAAUUAUUGGGCGUAAAGGGUAGGUAGGUGGUCUCAUUUGUCUGGGGUGAAAGCCUUGAGCUUAACUCAAGAAGUGCCCCAGAAACGGUGAGACUGGAGUCCUGGAGAGGGUCGUGGAAUUCCCGGUGUAGCGGUGAAAUGCGUAGAUAUCGGAAGGAACAUCAGUGGCGAAAGCGACUUCCUGGACCAAUACUGACGCUCAUGUGCGAAAGCGUGGGGAGCAAACAGG
rnacentral:rRNA from 1 species